rnacentral:rRNA from 1 species
ACUCCUACGGGAGGCAGCAGUGGGGAAUAUUGCACAAUGGGCGCAAGCCUGAUGCAGCCAUGCCGCGUGUAUGAAGAAGGCCUUCGGGUUGUAAAGUACUUUCAGCAGUGAGGAAGGCGGGUACGUUAAUAGCGUGCUCGUUUGACGUUAGCUGCAGAAGAAGCACCGGCUAACUCCGUGCCAGCAGCCGCGGUAAUACGGAGGGUGCGAGCGUUAAUCGGAAUUACUGGGCGUAAAGCGCAUGCAGGUGGUUUGUUAAGUCAGAUGUGAAAGCCCGGGGCUCAACCUCGGAAUUGCAUUUGAAACUGGCAGACUAGAGUACUGUAGAGGGGGGUAGAAUUUCAGGUGUAGCGGUGAAAUGCGUAGAGAUCUGAAGGAAUACCGGUGGCGAAGGCGGCCCCCUGGACAGAUACUGACACUCAGAUGCGAAAGCGUGGGGAGCAAACAGGAUUAGAUACCCUGGUA